rnacentral:sRNA from 12 species
GACCUAACCCUUGGCGUUAAACCCGAGGCACGGUCGCAAAACCCGCUAGAGAUCAAAGGACUCCUGGUCAGAGUCACUCUAGCGGGUCAUAUCGGGAAACCGGUAUGGGUUUGGCCGAAAGGUCGGACC